GAACCUGUUGACCCGAGAGCACUCGUCAUGCUGCUUUUUGUAAUUCAGUCUGUGUGUUGUCUUCCUUAGGUUUGCUGAGCCUCCAGGUGCUAAGCGAAGAAACAAAUGAUUGCAAGGAAGAAGGGAAGAUUUCCCUAGCCACUGCCACCUCCACCAAGAAACCACCCACGAAACGGACCAGAUGGAACUUGUUGAAAUGCACUUAUAUGAUGGUCACCUUCCUGUUUGUGUCCUACAACAAAGGAGACUGGUGUUACUGUCACUCCUGUAGCACGGAAGUGGACAUCAGGAACGACCCCUGCUGCUCUUUCUAGCGACCCUGCUCUGUCCCCUCUGGGCGGUCGCCAGUCCUUCAUAUGCCCGCUAGUCUCGCCUCCAAGAACCCUGUCUGCCCGGGACCGCCAGUUUGGAGAGUGACGGACUGGGUCCUCUGAGGGGUGACACCUGUCUCUGCAGGAAGGUGUCCCUAAGGGUCCUGAUGAGGUGGACCCAGGGCGAGCGAGGGCCCUCAGGGGGCUUUCCACACCGCUGUCCCUGGCCUCUUCCCCCCCCCCCCCCCACUGUUUCUCUAAUUAAAUGUACACUAAUUGAGACC